ensembl:snRNA U6 U6 spliceosomal RNA
GUGCUCACUUCAGCAGAACACAUACAAAACUGGAAUGAUACAAUGAUACAGAGAAGAUUAGAAUGGUCCCUGAACAUAGAUGACUAAAUUUGUGAAGAGUUCCAUAUAUUUUUU